rnacentral:rRNA from 1 species
AUUGAACGCUGGCGGCAUGCCUUACACAUGCAAGUCGAACGGUAACAGGUUAAGCUGACGAGUGGCGAACGGGUGAGUAAUACAUCGGAACGUGCCCAGACGUGGGGGAUAGCUCGGCGAAAGCCGGAUUAAUACCGCAUAAGCUCUGAGGAGGAAAGCGGGGGACCGUAAGGCCUCGCGCGUUUGGAGCGGCCGAUGGCAGAUUGGGUAGUUGGUGGGGUAAAGGCUUACCAAGCCUACGAUCUGUAGCUGGUCUGAGAGGACGACCAGCCACACUGGGACUGAGACACGGCCCAGACUCCCACGGGAGGCAGCAGUGGGGAAUUUUGGACAAUGGGCGAAAGCCUGAUCCAGCAAUGCCGCGUGCAGGAUGAAGGCCUUCGGGUUGUAAACUGCUUUUGUACGGAACGAAAAGGCGCCUACUAAUACUGGGUGUUGAUGACGGUACCGUAAGAAUAAGCACCGGCUAACUACGUGCCAGCCGCCGCAGUAAUAC